UUACAAAAUGCGUAGACCUGGCUGGGCGAGGUGGCUCACACUGUAUUAUAGUUUUUAAUGGAAGAAAGUUUACAAGUGCACUUAGAAAGCUUUGAAAUAACAGGGAGGAUGAAGAAUACUAUACCAGAAAAUUCUCCUCACUCCUCAAGCAUUUGGUUGUCCAAAGUUUUGUUUUCUAAUGUGUUCUGCCAUUAGAAACCAAACCCUCACUUCCUCCAUAGACAUUGAUAAACAAGCGCCAACCUGUUUAAAGAUGGAUCUUGACAGCUAAGGCGGAACACUGCUCUGCUAGAGUUCAGCACGCUUUUCUAAAUGCUGACCCAUAUCAAACGGCCCGUGCAGCUUAGAGACAGACAGGGAAGAGUUCCCUGUUGGCAAAGCGGUCAGGAAACAGGCUAAGCAGGUUCAUAUUUUAUGCUCCCCCUUCCUCAAAGCCAGCUGGGAAGCAAAAGCGAGCAAAGAAAAAAAGACAGGGCUGGAUUCCAUCAGAGUUGCUGCUUGUGAGCCUCUUUCUUUGCUUUUCUUUACACCUCCCGGCACCGUCAAAAAUGAGGUAGGAAAACCCUUAACUGGAGGUCUUUCCUUAAAGAAGGGGUAAACUGGAAGCCUGAAAAUGUCCCUUGAAUGAUUCCCACGAAGUCGGCAAACAGACAAGCAGAUGGCAGACAGCAAACUUACCGCCCAAAGGCACCGUUUUAAAUGAAUAACAAGAGCGGCCUCCCUCCUCCUCCUGAGCGUCCUCUACGUUUAGUUACAUAAGGAGGAUCAUCUCCACCAACAGACCUUCGUUAGGACCCUUCUCAGGCACGAAGCCCAGCAGCAGAGGUUGCAUGAGGAACAGAAAACCCAGAGCUCUGAAAAGGGAUGUUCUCGGCUUCUAGUCUCUGACAAAGCACCCA
rnacentral:lncRNA from 10 species